ACUGGCCCAACGCUCUAACCACUAGUUGAGAUAUAGGCUAUAAGGUAGCUGGAGGAGACAGCAGAGAGCCUGUUGGGGAUAGGUCUGAGUGUUGAGAUGUAGGCUAGGUUAGUUGGAGGAGACAGGGAUAGGUCUGGGUGUUGAGAUGUAGGCUAGGUUAGUUGGAGGAGACAGGGAUAGGUCUGGGUGUUGAGAUGUAGGCUAGGUUAGCUGGAGGAGACAGGGAUAGGUCUGGGUGUUGAGAUGUAGGCUAUAAGGUAGCUGGAGGAGACAGCAGAGGGCCUGUUGGGGAUUGAUCUGGGUGUUGAGAUGUAGGCUAGGUUAGCUGGAGGAGACAGCAGAGAGCCUGUUGGGGAUAGGUCUGGGUGUUGAGAUGUAGGCUAGGUUAGCUGGAGGAGACAGCAGAGAGCCUGUUGGGGAUAGGUCUGGGUGUUGAGAUGUAGGCUAGGUUAGCUGGAGGAGACAGCAGAGAGCCUGUUGGGGAUAGAUCUGAGUGUUGAGAUGUAGGCUAGGUUAGCUGGAGGAGACAGCAGAGAGCCUGUUGGGGAUAGGUCUGGGUGAUGAGAUGUAGGCUAGGUUAGCUGGAGGAGACAGCAGAGAGCCUGUUGGGGAUAGGUCUGGGUGAUGAGAUGUAGGCUAGGUUAGCUGGAGGAGACAGCAGAGAGCCUGUUGGGGGUGAGGCAUCUAUCAGAGUUAGCAGUCAACCAACAGGCAGGUCAAUACUUGUGUGGAUCCAGGCUGGAAUGCUGACAUACUCUGGUCCACCACAGCUCAAAGCAGUCAGCUCAGAGCUGCAGUGCAUUCGAAAUGUAUUCAGAUCCCUUGACAUUU